GAUGAACGCUGGCGGCGUGCCUAAUACAUGCAAGUCGAGCGAACGGACGAGAAGCUUGCUUCUCUGAUGUUAGCGGCGGACGGGUGAGUAACACGUGGAUAACCUACCUAUAAGACUGGGAUAACUUCGGGAAACCGGAGCUAAUACCGGAUAAUAUAUUGAACCGCAUGGUUCAAAAGUGAAAGACGGUUUUGCUGUCACUUAUAGAUGGAUCCGCGCUGCAUUAGCUAGUUGGUAAGGUAACGGCUUACCAAGGCAACGAUGCAUAGCCGACCUGAGAGGGUGAUCGGCCACACUGGAACUGAGACACGGUCCAGACUCCUACGGGAGGCAGCAGUAGGGAAUCCUCCGCAAUGGGCGAAAGCCUGACGGAGCAACGCCGCGUGAGUGAUGAAGGUCUUCGGAUCGUAAAACUCUGUUAUUAGGGAAGAACAAAUGUGUAAGUAACUGUGCACAUCUUGACGGUACCUAAUCAGAAAGCCACGGCUAACUACGUG
rnacentral:rRNA from 1 species